rnacentral:rRNA from 1 species
GACGAACGCUGGCGGCGUGCUUAACACAUGCAAGUCGAACGGAAAGGCCCUGCUUUUGUGGGGUGCUCGAGUGGCGAACGGGUGAGUAACACGUGAGUAACCUGCCCUUUACUUUGGGAUAACUUCAGGAAACUGGGGCUAAUACCGGAUAGGAGCUCCUGCUGCAUGGUGGGGGUUGGAAAGUUUCGGCGGUUGGGGAUGGACUCGCGGCUUAUCAGCUUGUUGGUGGGGUAGUGGCUUACCAAGGCUUUGACGGGUAGCCGGCCUGAGAGGGUGACCGGCCACAUUGGGACUGAGAUACGGCCCAGACUCCUACGGGAGGCAGCAGUGGGGAAUAUUGCACAAUGGGCGGAAGCCUAAUGCAGCAACGCCGCGUGCGGGAUGACGGCCUUCGGGUUGUAAACCGCUUUCGCCUGUGACGAAGCGUGAGUGACGGUAAUGGGUAAAGAAGCACCGGCUAACUACGUG